rnacentral:rRNA from 1 species
CCUACGGGUGGCUGCAGUGGGGAAUAUUGGACAAUGGGGGCAACCCUGAUCCAGCCAUGCCGCGUGUGUGAAGAAGGCCCUCGGGUUGUAAAGCACUUUCAGUGAGGAAGAACGCCUGGUGGUUAAUACCCAUCAGGAAAGACAUCACUCACAGAAGAAGCACCGGCUAACUCCGUGCCAGCAGCCGCGGUAAUACGGAGGGUGCGAGCGUUAAUCGGAAUUACUGGGCGUAAAGCACGCGUAGGUGGCUUGAUAAGCCGGUUGUGAAAGCCCCGGGCUCAACCUGGGAACGGCAUCCGGAACUGUCAAGCUAGAGUGCAGGAGAGGAAGGUAGAAUUCCCGGUGUAGCGGUGAAAUGCGUAGAGAUCGGGAGGAAUACCAGUGGCGAAGGCGGCCUUCUGGACUGACACUGACACUGAGGUGCGAAAGCGUGGGUAGCAAACAGGAUUAGAUACCCCGGUAGUC